rnacentral:rRNA from 1 species
UACGUAGGGUGCGAGCGUUGUCCGGAAUUAUUGGGCGUAAAGAGCUUGUAGGCGGUUUGUCGCGUCUGCUGUGAAAAUCCGGGGCUCAACCCCGGACUUGCAGUGGGUGACGGGCAGACUAGAGUGUGGUAGGGGAGACUGGAAUUCCUGGUGUAGCGGUGAAAUGCGCAGAUAUCAGGAGGAACACCGAUGGCGAAGGCAGGUCUCUGGGCCACUACUGACGCUGAGAAGCGAAAGCAUGGGGAGCGAACAGG